UAUGGUUAUACUCUAUGUCCUUUUGUUCUGAGGAAAAGUUUCCUCCCACAGUUACUAACAUUUAAGCGGCAAGGCCCAUGGUUGCUAUACACUGUAUUUGAUCUGUAGGGCUAUAUAUAAACAGAAUUUCUUACACAAUUUUGCUUUGCAGCAAGGCCACAGCAUCAUUCAGGGCCUGCAUUCCAUCUGUUUCAGAUGAAGCCGAGUGGGGAACUGAAAGUCCCAGUUCCCUGGAAUAAGAGCCUCUAAAGAGCCUUGCUGUCGUGGCUCUGUUGGAGGACAACCAGUUUAGCUGCUUCACUGUGAAACUAGCUACACUGCUUACAUUAUAUAAGAUCAGGCCAAUCUCUUGUUUCUUUUGUGGUCCCAUCAGCCAUGGACUCACAUUCUAGGAGCGCUGACUUGUGGAAGUCACGUUCAUAGAUGACUGCAGCUUCCUGUGGAUGACAUUCAUGGAGAAAAAAAGAUGAGGAUGUCCCAGAGAUACCAUCUUCAGCAAUAUUUCUAGGAGUUCCAGAAAAGUGCACAUCAUUUCUGUGUUUCCUUGCAGGUGGAGAAGAAGUUGCUGGAGCUAGGCCUCAGAGGCCUUCUUCGGCAGUCUCCCACUUCAAAGCACCUCCUUUUUAUUUUGAAGUUCCACAGAGCUUUGAGUCACAUGGCUGGAGAUGUUUCUCCUCAGUCUUGAACCAGCUCCUCUACUGUGGAAAUCAUCAGCCUAGGAUCAAUAUAGAUUAUUAGAGUCCAUCAAGCAUUUCCGGAAGUUCUUGAGGAAGUCUGGGAUGCUGGAAAAACAUAUGGUUUCAUUAAUGAAGAUGACCUAGAAAUAAAGAGCUGUGAUCUUCUCACCCACCCACCCAGUAUUGAACAAGUUAAGCUGGUGGGGGAUCUAAAGCAAUAGGGAGAAUAGGGAGCUGGAUCAUCAGUUUGCCUGUUCAUUCAAGAUCAUUGGACCAUCCUCAGUCAUUUCAAGAAUGGACCUCUCUGCUAUUCAACUUCUUUUUCAAAGAUGGCACCGAGGCAAGAUGUGUUGUGGAACAGGUUCCAACAGUAGCCACUUUUAGUACGUUGCAGCAGACUGUGUAGCAGCUUCGGAUAGAAUCGCAUGUGGUGCCUGGAACUCACCUUGGCUGGACCAUCGCCUUUCCAAGACCUGGCAGUUGGCUGAUUGGAUUAUUGGAUGCACCAGGCAUAUGGAGCAGCUUUGGCAUGUGGAUAAGUUGUUAUGCACUGUCUGGUGUACUUGGAAAGGCUGACAGUGUGUCUGGAGGCUAUAGGGUGGGGCACAUAGCCCCUCCCCUCUGGAACAUCCUCCCUCCUGAGAUUAGAAUUGUCCGGAUCCUAUUGGCCUUUCAGAAGACCUUCAAGAUCUGGUUCUGGGUUUUCAGUUCCGAGUGUGUGAAGUCCCCAUUGCAGUGAUGGGUUGCUACCGGUUUGCCCCGGAUCGGACGAACUGGUAGCGGUGGUGGCAGGAGGCUCUGCCCACCUGCCCAGACAUCUCUGCGCAUGCACAGAAGCAAGCGCACCCACGACCACGAGCAAACCGGUAGCGACAGAUUUGAAACCCACUACUUUGCCCCAUUGAUGUUAACAACUAUGGAUUAAAUUAUCUUCUGGUUGCUCUUUGUAUUUGUUUGUGUGUUCUGUUUUUAAGUUGUUCAAAUUAUUUCACGAUUGUUUCCUGCUCAGAAUCAUUUGUUUCAGAUGGAUGGCUAUACGAACUGAAUAAAUAA